rnacentral:rRNA from 1 species
AUUGAACGCUGGCGGCAGGCCUAACACAUGCAAGUCGAGCGGAUGAAGGGAGCUUGCUCCUGGAUUCAGCGGCGGACGGGUGAGUAAUGCCUAGGAAUCUGCCUGGUAGUGGGGGAUAACGUCCGGAAACGGGCGCUAAUACCGCAUACGUCCUGAGGGAGAAAGUGGGGGAUCUUCGGACCUCACGCUAUCAGAUGAGCCUAGGUCGGAUUAGCUAGUUGGUGGGGUAAAGGCCUACCAAGGCGACGAUCCGUAACUGGUCUGAGAGGAUGAUCAGUCACACUGGAACUGAGACACGGUCCAGACUCCUACGGGAGGCAGCAGUGGGGAAUAUUGGACAAGGGGCGAAAGCCUGAUCCAGCCAUGCCGCGUGUGUGAAGAAGGUCUUCGGAUUGUAAAGCACUUUAAGUUGGGAGGAAGGGCAGUAAGUUAAUACCUUGCUGUUUUGACGUUACCAACAGAAUAAGCACCGGCUAACUUCGUGC